AUGACUUUCCAAUUAGAGUAUCCCAAUCUACUUUCCAAUCUACAGUGUACAAGCCAUUUGCCACAAUAUCUAGAGGAACCUGAAAACAUUAUUCCAAAUGAAGACACUUAUGAGAAAAUAAAAGAGUGGUUACUAGAGGAUUAUUGAGCUAUGUA
rnacentral:lncRNA from 1 species